rnacentral:rRNA from 1 species
UGGGGAAUAUUGCACAAUGGACGGAAGUCUGAUGUAGCAACGCCGCGUGCGGGAUGACGGCCUUCGGGUUGUAAACCGCUUUUUCUCAUGACGAAGUUUUUUGACGGUAGUGGGGGAAGAAGCACCGGCUAACUACGUGCCAGCAGCCGCGGUGAUACGUAGGGUGCGAGCGUUGUCCGGAAUUAUUGGGCGUAAAGAGCUUGUAGGCGGUUUGUCGCGUCGAUAGUGCAAACUCAGUGCUUAACGCUGAGCCUGCUGUUGAUACGGGCAGACUAGAGGAAGGUAGGGGAGAAUGGAAUUCCCGGUGGAGCGGUGGAAUGCGCAGAUAUCGGGAGGAACACCGGUGGCGAAGGCGGUUCUCUGGGCCUUUCCUGACGCUGAGAAGCGAAAGCGUGGGGAGCGAACAGG